rnacentral:rRNA from 1 species
GAAAAUGUUAUUGCUGAUGCAUUGUCUCGUCGCUAUACUAUGCUUUCACAACUUGACUUCAAAAUAUUUGGUUUGGAGACCAUCAAAGAUCAAUAUGUGCAUGAUGCUGAUUUUAAAGAUGUAAUGCAGAAUAGUAAAGAAGGAAGAAUGUGGAACAAGUUUGUUGUUAACGAUGGAUUUGUGUUUCGUGCUAACAAGCUAUGCAUUCCAGCUAGCUCCGUUCAUCUUUUGUUGUUGCAGGAGGCGCAUGGAGGAGGAUUAAUGGGACACUUUGGCGUGAAGAAGACGGAGGACGUACUUGCUACACAUUUCUUUUGGCCAAAGAUGAGACGGGAUGUUGAGCGUUUUAUUGCUCGCUGCACUACAUGUCAAAAAGCUAAGUCACGA